CCUCAUGGCAACAACGCGCAGCAGCGGCCG
rnacentral:SRP_RNA from 1 species